rnacentral:rRNA from 1 species
CGGUUCAGCACGCCGCGGUGAAUACGUUCCCGGGCCUUGUACACACCGCCCGUCACACCAUGGGAGUCUGCAAUGCCCAAAGCCGGUGGCCUAACCUUCGGGAAGGAGCCGUCUAAGGCAGGGCAGAUGACUGGGGUGAAGUCGUAACAAGGUAGCCGUAGGAGAACCUGCGGCUGGAUCACCUCCUUU